AGCCUGGAAACAGCAAAAUAAAAAACAUAGCUUUAUCUGAGCUCCGAAUUGCCUACCACCCAUUCCAGCAAUUACCCACAAAGAUUUGUCCUUUUGAUUUCGUAGCAGAGGAAAAUAGCAUGGAAGUAGGCGGCCAUUGUUAACUUUCAGUUUCUUUCUCUCUUUUCGAUGGCUUCAAUUCGAUCUCCAACGCCUCCCAGUCUCACUUUCUCGACCCACCAUUUCCCUUCCUUCAAAACACCCUUCUUUCACCCUGCUUCCACCUCCAUGAGGUUCCCCCAUUCCACUCUUUGCCGCUGCUCUAACGGCGAUUCCAAUGGGAAUUCCGUUAACUGGAGAUGGGACUCCGCAAUUCAAGACGUGUUCCAGAACACCGUCAAGCGAUUCUAUUCCUACGUGAACCCUUUCAGGAAACAACCCACCGCCGCCGGAGAUGCUGUGAACGACGCCGUUGAGGGGAAACAAGAAGAGGACGAUCGUGAUUGGGAUUGGGAUCGGUGGAAAAUGCAUUUCGAUCAAGUCGAUGAACAGGAACGUCUCGUCUCCCUUUUAAAGACGCAAUUAAAUGAAGCUGUGCGUAGAGAAGAUUAUGAGGAUGCUGCUAGGUUAAAGGUUGCAAUUGCAGCUGCAUCUAGGAACGAUACUGUUGGUAGAGUCAUAUCACAUUUAAAUAGAGCAGUAAUGGAAGAACGUUUCAUGGAUGCUGCAUUUUUAAGAGAUAAUGCUGGUGCUGGAUUAGUUGGAUGGUGGGCUGGUCUUCCUAAUGAUGCCAAAGAUCCUUACGGUCUAAUUAUACGAAUUACUGCCGAACAUGGUAGAUAUGUCGCCAGGAGUUUUAGUCCUAGGCAGCUCUCUACCGCCUCAGCUGGUAUACCUUUGUUUGAGAUCUUUCUUACUAUAAAUAAGAAAGGUGAAUACAAACAACAGGCCGUGUAUUUGAAAAGGAGAAGAGUUUUCCAAGAUUCUUCAACGGUGCCUCCAAAAACAUCUGGAGUCCCCAGCCGCUUGGCUCCAUCAGACCCCACCAAAGACAAAACUGAUCUUUUUGUUGUCAGUACUGAAGAUGGUGUUGAUGAAGAAGAUGAUAAUGAAGAUGAUGAAUCUGAUGAGGGUGAGGGACUAACUGGUUUCCAAAAUGUAUUACGAGAUAUGAUUCCUGGUGCAAAGGUCAAGGUUGUGGAAGUUACUGCACCUGGGAAAGUAGACCCAGAUUUUAUAUCCAAGGUAAUUGAGCAGAUAAUAGAUGAAGAAGAUGAAGAAAAAGGUGCCGAGGUUGAAAGCAUAGAAGUGGAUGAUGAAACUAAGAGUGAUGGUGACCAAGACAGAGAUCAAAUUGAGAUGGAUGCCAAUAGUGGAGUUAUUGAUAGUGACAGGCGAGGUGAAAUUGCAGUUAAAGUUGUUGUUGGUGGUCUUGUACAAAAACUUUCCAGCAGUGUUCCUGCAAUAGAAUCACUUCGAGUGCCCGCUAAACUAGUGAAAAAUGGGCGCCUAAUGUUUUCAUUUUCUAUAGAAAAGGACAUAAACCAACAAGAAACCAGUCUCAAGAAAAAGGGUGUGACGGAUAGAAAAGCAAAGCUUCCAGGUCAACGCAGUGCAGAUGAAAUAAUGUUCGAUCUUGCUAAAUUUUUCGGCAGGGAGAAGAUACCUUUGAAGGUGCUCAAAGAUGUUGGUGAAUUGAUAAAUGUUACUCUGAAUCAAGCUCAAAAUCGUCAACCGCUAUCUGGAUCUACCACUUUCCGUCGCAUUGAGACUGCAGCAUCACCUGAUCCCCUAAAUGGAUUAUAUAUCGGGACACAUGGGCUUUACACUUCAGAAGUCAUUCAUCUUAAGCGCAAAUUUGGUCAGUGGCAAGGGGAUAGUGGGACUAAGGAGCCUUUAGAUCUUGAAUUUUAUGAAUAUGUGGAGGCGGUAAAAUUAACUGGAGAUCCUUAUGUACCAGCAGGCCAGGUGGCAUUUCGUGCCAGAGUUGGUAAAAGAUAUCAGCUCCCACAUAAUGGGAUAAUUCCUGAAGAAUUCGGAGUGGUUGCUCGAUAUAAAGGACAGGGGCGGCUUGCUGAGCCAGGCUUUCGAAAUCCUCGAUGGGUUGAUGGCGAACUUGUUAUUCUUGAUGGAAAGUGCAUCAAAGGAGGGCCCGUAGUUGGAUUUGUAUAUUGGGCCCCUGAAUAUCAAUUCUUGGUAUUCUUUAAUCGCCUAAGGCUUCAACAAUAGUCUGUUGUACAUAGUAUUUGAGCAUGUUUAUCUUUGGUUCAAAUAACACGGGUUCAACAUGAUACGUCUCACUGAACUGUAGAGCGACAAAGAAGGGAAGAGAUUCUAGCUUAUAUUUCAACUUCUUACUUAUUGGUUCUGAGUAUCGACUCUGGAGAAGUCACCACGAAGCUUCGUAAGAUCCGGCGAGAAGAAAACCAUUCAGUCUUUCAGGAAGUACUGUUUUCUUUGGAUAUCGAUCGAUCUAGUAAUUAUAUCGUAGCAUCCAAUAAAUUCUGAAAUUACAACCCUAUUGGAAUCCUCAUAGCCACCAUAGGUUGAUAAGAUCCAAAUGAUCAUAGUUGGGAGUUAGGACCAGUGAAAUCCAGGCUUUGGAAUGGCCUUAGCUUAUGAGCUUCAAAAUCACACUGUAAAUUAUCUCCGUUUUUUUGUUUCUUAACUACUAAAAGAGCCCUUGAACUAGUUUACUUUUGUUGAACAAGUCCUUAUACUCUUGUUGUUUUCAUAUAAGCCCUUAU